rnacentral:other from 1 species
AGAUUCCUGAGAUACACGAUAACCCUUUGUAUUUGAACCUACAGUAAUUUGACGGGAUUUAGUUGUAUGUGUGCGGAUGUCAGGCCGUAUAUCAGCGGAAGGCAGAAACACUCAUCACGGAACCCACCUGGCGGACGCUAGGCGUCAAAAAAAAGGGCCGGUAUUUUGGGAAUUUU